UACUGGCCUUUCAAACUCUUGGG
rnacentral:miRNA from 1 species